rnacentral:rRNA from 1 species
GACAGAGGCCUCGAGCGUUAGGCGGAAUCACUGGGCUUAAAGCGUGUGUAGGCGGGCCCGUAAGUGUCUUGUGAAAUCCCACGGCUCAACCGUGGAACUGCUGGGCAUACUGCGGGUCUUGGGCCAACUAGGGGCAGCCGGAACAAGCGGUGGAGCGGUGAAAUGCGUAGAUAUUGGGAGGAACACCGGUGGCGAAGGCGGCCCCCUGGACCGGAACUGACGCUGAGGCGCGAAAGCGUGGGUAGCAAACGGG